GCGCAGCAGGCGCGAAACCUCCGCAAUGCACGCAAGUGCGACGGGGGAACCCCAAGUGCCACUCUUAACGGGGUGGCUUUUCAGAAGUGUAAAAAGCUUCUGGAAUAAGGGCUGGGCAAGACCGGUGCCAGCCGCCGCGGUAACACCGGCAGCUCAAGUGGUAGCCGCUUUUAUUGGGCCUAAAGCGUCCGUAGCCGGUCUGAUAAGUCUCUGGUGAAAUCCCGCAGCUUAACUGUGGGAAUUGCUGGAGAUACUAUCAUGACUCGAGGUCGGGAGAGGCUGGAGGUACUCCCAGGGUAGGGGUGAAAUCCUGUAAUCCUGGGAGGACCACCUGUGGCGAAGGCGUCCAGCUGGAACGAACCUGACGGUGAGGGACGAAAGCCAGGGGCGCGAACCGGAUUAGAUACCCGGGUAGUCCUGGCCGUAAACGAUGUGGACUUGGUGUUGGGAUGGCUUCGAGCUGCCCCAGUGCCGAAGGGAAGCUGUUAAGUCCACCGNCUGGGAAGUACGGCCGC
rnacentral:rRNA from 1 species